rnacentral:rRNA from 1 species
GUCUAUGGCCAUCCCAUCCUGAAUGUGCCCGAUCUCCUCUGAUCUCAGAAGCCAAGCAGGGUUGGGCCUGGUUAGUACUUGGAUGGGAGAAAGCAAGAAAUAAUUU